rnacentral:ncRNA from 2 species
UUCCGCAUCUCUGGAGAGCGGCAGCGGGCGCAUUGCAUGCGCCUUGCCUGCCCACCGAAGGGGCGCGCAUGUGACCGCCGCCGGCCUUGGAUGGUGCAACGGGACCUAUCCCAGCACCAUCCGCCGGCAGUGACGUCCGUGCAAUCUCUCAGGUAUCGAGGACAGAGGGGUCGGC